rnacentral:rRNA from 1 species
CAGUCGCCGCGGGAAUACGUAGGGUGCAAGCGUUAAUCGGAAUUACUGGGCGUAAAGCGUGCGCAGGCGGUUUGUUAAGACAGAUGUGAAAUCCCCGGGCUCAACCUGGGAACUGCAUUUGUGACUGGCAGGCUAGAGUAUGGCAGAGGGGGGUGGAAUUCCGCGUGUAGCAGUGAAAUGCGUAGAUAUGCGGAGGAACACCGAUGGCGAAGGCAGCCCCCUGGGCCAAUACUGACGCUGAGGUACGAAAGCAUGGGGAGCAAACAGGAUUAGAGACCCGCGUAGUCCCUGUCUCUUAUAC